GGGUUGUGAGGUUAAGCGACUAAGCGUACACGGUGGAUGCCCUGGCAGUCAGAGGCGAUGAAGGGCGUGCUAAUCUGCGAUAAGCGCCGGUAAGGUGAUAUGAACCGUUAUAACCGGCGAUACCCGAAUGGGGAAACCCAGUGUGAUUCGUCACACUAUCAUUAACUGAAUCUAUAGGUUAAUGAGGCGAACCGGGGGAACUGAAACAUCUAAGUACCCCGAGGAAAAGAAAUCAACCGAGAUUCCCCCAGUAGCGGCGAGCGAACGGGGAGGAGCCCAGAGCCUGAAUCAGCAUGUGUGUUAGUGGAAGCGUCUGGAAAGGCGCGCGAUACAGGGUGACAGCCCCGUACACAAAAGCGCAUGUGCUGUGAGCUCGAUGAGUAGGACGGGACACGUGGUAUCCUGUCUGAAUAUGGGGGGACCAUCCUCCAAGGCUAAAUACUCCUGACUGACCGAUAGUGAACCAGUACCGUGAGGGAAAGGCGAAAAGAACCCCGGCGAGGGGAGUGAAAAAGAACCUGAAACCGUGUACGUACAAGCAGUGGGAGCACAGGUUUACCUGUGUGACUGCGUACCUUUUGUAUAAUGGGUCAGCGACUUAUAUUCUGUAGCA
rnacentral:rRNA from 1 species